rnacentral:rRNA from 1 species
CACGUAGGCGGAUUGGAAAGUUGGGGGUGAAAUCCCGGGGCUCAACCCCGGAACUGCCUUCAAAACUCCCAGUCUGGAGGUCGAGAGAGGUGAGUGGAAUUCCGAGUGUAGAGGUGAAAUUCGUAGAUAUUCGGAGGAACACCAGUGGCGAAGGCGGCUCACUGGCUCGAUACUGACGCUGAGGUGCGAAAGCGUGGGGAGCAAACA